CUUGAAGACGGAAGAAGAGGAGUGGAAUUCCCAGUGUAGGAGGUGAAAUUCGUAGAUAUUGGGAAGAACACCGGUGGCGAAGGCGGCUCACUGGUCCGUUUCUGACGCUAAAGCGCGAAAGCGUGGGGAUCAAACAGGAUUAGAUACCCUGGUAGUCCACGCUGUAAACGAUGAGUGCUAGGCGUCGGCACGCUUGCGUGUCGGUGCCGCAGCUAACGCGUGAAGCACUCCGCCUGGGGAGUACGGUCGCAAGAUUAAAACUCAAAGGGAAUUGACGGGGGCCCGCACAAGCGGUGGAGCAUGUGGUUUAAUUCGACGCAACGCGCAGAACCUUACCAGCCCUUGACAUGCCGUGUUACUCGCAGAGAUGUGGGGUUCCAGCAAUGGACGCGGACACAGGUGCUGCAUGGCUGUCGUCAGCUCGUGUCGUGAGAUGUUGGGUUAAGUCCCGCAACGAGCGCAACCCUUGCCUUCAGUUGCCAUCAUUUAGUUGGGCACUCUGGAGGGACUGCCGGCGGUAAGCCGGAGGAAGGUGGGGAUGACGUCAAGUCCUCAUGGCCCUUACGGGCUGGGCUACACACGUGCUACAAUGGUGGCGACAGAGGGCACAAGCGAGCGUGUAAACGUUAGCAAAUCCCAAAAAGCCAUCUCAGUUCAGAUUGCGCUCUGCAACUCGGGCGCAUGAAGGUGGAAUCGCUAGUAAUCGCAGAACAGCAGGCUGCGGUGAAUACGUUCCCGGGCCUUGUACACACCGCCCGUCACACCAUGGGAGUUGGUUUUACCUGAAGACGGUGCGCUAACCGCAAGGAGGCAGCCGGCCACGGUAAGGUCAGCGACUGGGGUGAAGUCGUAACAAGGUAACCAGUAUU
rnacentral:rRNA from 1 species